CGGCACAUUGCAUUGACUUGCUCUGUAUCUUGCUGAGCAGCGUUAUUUCUGAUGUGCUAGAGCAAAAUGAAGGCUAAUUAGCAGUGUAACGAAUCACACGUGGUUACCGCUGCCAGUCUCCUUCAUACAUGU